rnacentral:rRNA from 1 species
CGCGAAUGGCUCAUUAUAACAGCUAUAAUUUACUUGAUCUUGACACAAUCCUACUUGGAUAACUGUGGUAAUUCUAGAGCUAAUACAUGCAUUAAAGCUCUGACCGCAAGGGAAGAGUGCACUUAUUAGAACAAAACCAAGCGGCUUCGGCUGUUUUCGGUUGACUCAUAGUAACUGAGCUGAUCGCACGGUCUUGCACCGGCGACGUGUCUUUCAAGUAUCUGCCGUAUCAACUUUCGAUGGUAGUGUAUCUGACUACCAUGGUGAUCACGCGUAACGGAGAAUAAGGGUUCGGCCCCGGAGAGUUCGCCUGAGAAAUCGCGAACACAUCUAAGGAAGGCAGCAGGCGCGAAAAUUACCCACUCUCAGCACGAGGAGGUAGUGACGAAAAAUAACGAGACCGUUCUCUUAUGAGGCCGGUCAUCGGAAUGGGUACAAUUUAAACCCUUUAACGAGUAUCUAUGAGAGGGCAAGUCUGGUGCCAGCAGCCGCGGUAAUUCCAGCU